CUAGCCAUGCAUUUCAUUUCAUCUGUGCAUAUCUUCUUCUAUCCUUCACAUUCCCCACACAGAGGCAAGAGUUCUCGCCUAGGAUUCUAAGUGACUUAACAUUAUCGUUGAAUGCAUCUUCAGUACAAUGCGGUGUGAUAAAAUUUCCAGUGAGUGGAGGGUCAAUCACAUCGUUUAAUAUGGAAUUUGGACAAGUUGCCAUCAUGGUUAAUGAGAGUAUUAAGUCUGAACGUAAUUCUUCCAUUUGGAGGUUGAAUAUACGUACUGAAAUCUAUCUUUAUUGAAAGCUACUCUCUUAUCUGGUACUUACACGGUGUUAGAAAGCAUCCUUCUCCUGUUACUACAAGCCUGCUUUUAUUGCAUCCUGCCAACUUGAUGGGAGAAGAAUCUUUUGGUUGGUGAUCUUUGGUAAAAUUAUGUUAAUAAAAACAACUUCUUGACACACAUUUUUCUAUAUAUGAAAAAUAUUACCUGACACUCAUUAUUUUGGGUUAUAGAAAUCAUAUUUAUAACUGUUAAACUUUAUCAUUGGUUUGUUUAGAUAUGUCUUCUCAGACAUGAAGGUAUGAGAGGUACUUACUUGUAGAUAGGAAUAUUGAUGAGGGUGUGGCAUGUCAAUGUGAUCAGAAUGUAUGGUACACAUGAGAAAUUGUUUAAAGAUUAAAUUUCAUUCAAAAGCUAUUAGAGAAUUAACUUUAACUCAUCUUAGUCUGGACAUAAGUAUUUAGAGGCUAGCGAUAUUUAUUAACUAUGUCAGCAUAUUUCUACUUUAUGAUUGAAUAAGCAUCCAGAAAGAUCUAAUAAAAAUUGAAUGCUUCAUAUUAUUUUUAAUUGAAGAACACUGAAAAUUACAAUUGUAUAUUUUUUUUGCUAAACAUUUUUUGCUAUUAUAUUAGAGCAAAGACUGUAACACAGUCUUUGAAGUGGGAGGACUAAUAAUAAUAUUUCUACUCCCACUUUCAAGUGUAAGGCCAAUGGCAUUUUAUAAGAAUUAUUUUUUUUUGGUUAUAUACGUUUUCUUUUUUUGGAGAACUACAAAAACAAAGAUGAAUAUAUUAUUGUCAGUAAACAUGAUACAGCAAUUUACACAAUUAAAAACAUAAUUUGAUGAAAAAACUCUAAAAGAUAGCUUUUGCAAUAUAUUUUUGAAGUUAAAACAAAAUAUGGGAAACAAAUUUAAUCAAUGCCUUUAAAACAACCAUGCUACUUCUAUGAAAGAAUUAAAAUUAUUCUAGAGAGUAAUAACACAUUCAAUGGGAUGGUUAAGUUGGAUUUUAUAGUUAUUACACACACUUACUUUGAUAAUCUACUAACAUUUGGGAAGGUGAACUCAGUCUCUCAAGUGUGCCAAAGGCCCACCCUAUAAACCACAAGAUCAAAUACAGUGAUGGCUUUUGUGCUUUAUUUUCUGCUUCUGUCAAAAAGCAGUAUAACACAGGGCAAACCACACAGAUUUAAAACAAAGUCCUUUAGAUUUUACUGAUUUUAAAAUGAUUUUAUAAAAUGCUAUGUGUGAGAUGGGUAUAAUCAUACACCAAUGUGACCCUGGCACUAAGGUAGAAAUGGACAGGGUACUAAGUUGAAGGCUGGAAAACUUUUCAGGAUACUGUGUGAAAGUAAAAGGCAAAUGCCUAUGCUGGGUCUCAGUGUCAGAGCCUACUACAUGUGAGGCCCUGGGCUCAACCGUUAUUGACAUUUCAUUUUAAUAGUGGUUUCAUAAAAUCUUUACAACAUAUUAAAAUACUUAAGGAUUUAACAAGUUAAAUAAACACAUGGGUGGUUCUUAAGGCUGUAAAAUUUAGAUGCACUAUAGCUACUGAACUGUCAAGGAUCAAUGUGUGUAUUAGAAGCUCAUAUCUUAAAAUCUCUACACUGAGGGCAUUUAUAUUUCUAAAUGUAUUGUAUUCAAUAAAUUUAAAAUUGAUAUGAUUAAUUUUGUUUUGGCUAAAAACAUAUACUUCUUAAGUAAAAUUUAAACAGUGUGAACAUAUACUAUUAAUCUGUUUUUUUAUUAUUUUGAGAGAUAAGCUAUCCAUAAACUUCCAACACUGAACUCCACUACACCAUGUCCAUUUGUUCAGGAAUCAAGAACUUUUAUAUUUUUAAGUCUGAAAUUAAAAUGUUUCAAAUCUGAAAAUGUUUCAAAUAGCAAAACUUUAACUUUUAUGAAAAAAGCAACAUGUAGAAACUGCCUUGAAUUAUGGUAGAUAUUGCAUCUUGUGAGAGUUGCAAUGGAAUUUAAUAGUUUUCUCUAGUACCACACAGUAAAUACACCGAAGAUUUCACCAGACACAUUUACUGCGAGCAACUCCAUGUAUCUCCCAUGCUCCUCCAAUUGCUUAGACAUGUUUACUUUCAUGAGAUUCCUCAGGUUUUAAGAGUUUCCCUUGUUUACGUUUAAGUUAUACCUCCAGAGUCAACCUACACUGAACCCUAGCGUUGCCAAAUGCACCAGGUUUGCUAGUGCGUUUUGACUUACAUGAUAGUUGCAAUUUUGAAAACUUCUGGCUAUAUCAACCUUUUGGAAAACAAAACCACUUAUCUUGCACUAAAGUUGCUUACUGUCUCAGAAAUAUUACAAUGCUGUUUUUUAUCACUUUAGUUUGUGAACCAAAAAUCUUUAUACUGUCAGGAGAGGAAGAUUUUCAAUUUAUUAAUUUUAUCUUCAUGCCUUCAGACUCAGCAACUGUAUAGCAUCUCAUUUUCUGCAAAAUAGGGAUACAAUCAAUGCUGGCACCUUAUACUAUUGUAUGAAUUAAUAUGAAAGUGCUUUCAGCAUAUAGCAGAAUAUAAUAGUUAUUUUAAUCUCCUCACAUUUUGGAGAGUCAUUUAUGAAAAUAUGUCCUAAUAAUACUUCAGAGAAAAUUUCUUAUCUACUUCUGCAUUAAGUAACAUUCUUGAAAAAAUUUAAUUUUAGAAGUUCAUAUUUUAAAAAAUGCUCACGGCUAAUGGCAAUAAAGCUUAUGCUAAUGAGAAAGAAAUGUCAUAAUGAAUAUUAUAAUUAUAGCAUUGUAACUGUAACUUUGCUUUUCCCAAACAUUUGAAGCGAUAUAAAAAGAGGUGUGAUAAGCUUAAUUAUAUUGGUUUUAACUGUUUUACUACAGACAAGUGAUGACAUUGUCAUUGCUGGUUAAAAAAUAAUUACUCUGUUCAAAAGUAGGAUCAAAAUGGACAGAUGACAUGAUCUCAGCUGAGUAUUAAGAGCCACGGUUCAGAGAAACAGGGAUUUUGUAUCUCCAGUUCUAGUUUUAGUAUCAAUUAUGCACCUUCAGUACACUCUGCUUCAACAUUAAAAACUAGUGAAAAUAUCUCCCUGAUUUCUUCAUGUUGGGAUUAAGUGGCAUGGGUAUGAAGAAAAGAUGAAGAAGUAACAAAGGAAGCUGAGUGCUAAUCUGCACCUGAGCAAAACCACUCUGCUGUACUCCUCAGUGUGCAUCCUGACAUCACUGCAGGGAACACUUCAGUGACAGAUCUGAGAACAAUACCUGUAAAGUGACAGAUUCAUUCACAUGAAGGCUUGCAAGGAAUAGCGGUGUAUUGGUGUUAAAGCUCACGCAAUGCCACAGAGUGAGAGUGGGUUGAGUGUCUUGUGUGGGGUGGCUGUGGCCCCUGACAGGGUUAAGAUAUCACUCUGUGAAUACUAAUUUUCUCGUGUUUUAUCCUCUUGUAUCACUUUCCUCUUUUUGCCCAGGCCAGGUAAUUGGAAAAUAUAGCAUCUUUUUCAAACUGAAGAAAUUUAUAGGAAAUCAAAUUAUAUACAGAUUCAAAUUUUCACAUGAGAUAUUUUAUUUUAAAAAAUUUCUGAUCACUGGAUACAUCAAUAUAUAAAAAUUGUUCUAAAAGUUUAUGGAGAAAAUUCAUCAUUGUUCCACACACUCAACAAAUACC